rnacentral:rRNA from 1 species
AGAGAGAGACAUGCGCGCAUAUCAAUAAGCGGAGGAAAAGAAACUAACAAGGAUUCCCCUAGUAACGGCGAGUGAAGCGGGAAGAGCUCAAAUUUGAAAUCUUAAAGGGUUUCCCUUUACGAAUUGUAGUUUAAAGAAGUGUUUUCUGUUGAGGUUUUGGUAAAAGUUCUUUGGAAUAGGACAUCAUAGAGGGUGAGGAUCCCGUAUUUGACCUUUACUUUCAACUUUGUGAUACACUUUCAAAGAGUCGGAUUGUUUGGGAAUGCAGUCCAAAAUGGGUGGUAAAUUUCAUCUAAAGCUAAAUAUUGGCGAGAGACCGAUAGCGAACAAGUACCGUGAGGGAAGAUGAAAAGAACUUUGAAAAGAGAGUUAAACAGUACGUGAAAUUGUCAAAAGGGAAGCGUUUGACACCAGUGUUGUUUUUCUGAAAAUCAAUUAAAGAACUGUUUAUGCUAAGUUGUUUAGACUUUAUCAGCUAACUGUUUAGUUUUGAGCUUUUCUUUAAUGCACUUUUCAGUUAACAAGUCAACAUCAAUUUCUUUUGCUGUAAAAAAGCUUGAGGAAGGUGGCUUGAGAUUCGUCUUAAGUGUUUAUAGCCUCUUGCCUAUGCAGUCGGAGAGAUUGAGGUCUGCAGCGUAGAUCCUUCGGGGCUAAAUGCACUUUGUGCUAAGUUAUAGCAUUUUAUAGACAACUUGUUGACUAUGAUUUGUCUUGUAGCUUACUCGCUUAUGUUAUUUUACCUACGCUUAGGAUGUUGACGCAUGAGAUAUACGC